GAUGAACGCUGGCGGCGUGCUUAACACAUGCAAGUCGAACGGUGAUGCCUUUUUUUUUUUUGCUGCUCGAGUGGCGAACGGGUGAGUAACACGUGAGUAAUCUGCCCCUGACUCUGGGAUAAUUUCCGGAAACGGCGCCUAAUACUGGAUACGAGCUGCUGUUGCAUCCUGGGCCCUGGUAAGUCACGUCGGUUGGGGAUGUACUCGCGGCCUAUCAGCUUGUUGGUGGGGUAACGGCUGACCAAGGCUUCGACGGGUAGCCGGCCUGAGAGGGUGACCGGCCACACUGGGGCUGAGGGACGGCACAGACUCCUACGGGAGGCAGCAGUGGGAAAUAUUGCACGAUGGGCGGAAGCCUGAUGCAGCAACGCCGCGUGUGGGAAGACGGCCUUCGGGUUGUAAGCCUCUUUGGCCGGGGAAGAAGCGAAAGUGACGGUAUCAGGCAAAGAAGCACCGGCUAACUACGUG
rnacentral:rRNA from 1 species